rnacentral:lncRNA from 1 species
AUUACUCCGAAAAAAAGAAAAAAAUGGAUUGAAACAACAGAGCCUCAGAGAAAUGUGUUACAGUAGUAAUUUCAUCAGCAUAUUCAUAACAGACGAAAGAGGGGAGAGAAGUGAGCAGGAAAAAAAUAUUAAAUUAAGUAAUAUCUGAAAACAUCCCAUAGUUUUUAAAAAGAAGUAAUCAUAUUUAGGAAACUCAUUGAACUCAAAGUGGGAUAGAUGCAUAGAGAUCCACAAAUAGUUACUUCUUAAUAAUAGCUAAUUGCCAAAGACAAGGAAAAAGUCUUGAUGCGAGCAGCUAGAGAUAAAUGCAUCAUCAUUUAGAAGAGAAUCCCAGUAAGAUUUAUGGCUAAGUUUUCAGCAGAAACAAUGGAGGGAAGACAUCAGUGGGAUAACAUUCAGAGUGCUCAAAGAAACUAUCAGUCGACCUAUUUUUUAGUCAUGCCUUGGAGAUAUUAUGGGUUCAGUUCUAGACCACUAUAGAAAAGAAUUCCACGAUAAUGUUAGUCACAGAAAUAUUUUAGUUUCCCAGUGCAUAUAAAGUUAUGUUUACACUGCACUAUAGUCUAUUAAAAAGUGUGCAAUAGCAUUUGUCUAAAGAAGAAGAAAACAAUGUGUAUACCUUAAUUUUAAAAUAUUUCCUUGCUAAAAAAUGCUAAUAGUCAUGAGCCUUCAAUGAGUUGUAUUCUUUUUGCUGGUAAGUACCAUAUCUUCAGUGUUGAUGGCAGCUUGACUGAACAGAAUGGUGAUAGUUCAAGAUUUAGGGUGGUUGUGGCAGUUUAUCUUAAACAAUGAGGCUUGCCAGAAAUAGUCUCCACAGACUAUUCCUCUGUAGCAUGUCAUACAGUUACAGAGCAUUUUACCCACACUAGAAUUUAUUUCAGAAUUGGAACCAAAUUUCUCAAAUCUUGCUUCUGUUUUGUCAAUUGAAUUUUUGUAAUAUUUUAUAUUACUUCUUAUCCUUUGAGAAAUAUUCACAGCAUCUUUAUCAGGAUUAGAUUCUAUAUCAGGAAACUACUUUCUUUGCUUAUCCAUAAGAAGCAACUCCUAUUAGUUAAAGUUUUAUCAUGAGAUUGAGGUAAUACAGUGACUUCUUCAGGAUCCACUUCUAUUUUUCUUGCUAUUUCUACCCCAUCUUCAGUUACUUCCUCCACAGAAGUCUUGAACUCCUCAAAGUCGUCCAUGAGAAUUGGAAUCCCCUGCUUCCAAACUCCAGUUAUUGUUGAUAUUUUGAUCUCCUCCUGAGAUUCACAAAUGUUCUUAAUGCCAUCUAGAAUGGUGAAUCUUUUCCAAAAGACUUUCAGUUUACUUUGCCCAGAUAAGUCAGAGAAAUCUUUUUCUAUGGCAGCUAUAGUCUUAUAAAAUGUAUUAUUGAACAAUAACAUUUGAAAGUAGAAAUUACUCCUUGUUCCAUGGGUUGCAAAAUGGAUAUUGUUAACAGCUGUGAAAAACAACAUUAUAAUCUCAUUUUAUAUCUCCAUCAGAGCUUUUUAGGUGACAAGGUAUCUUGUCAGUGAGGAAUAACAUUUUGAAAGUGAGCUUUUUUCUGAACGGUCAGUCUCAACAGUGAGCGUAACAUAUUCCAUAACCAGAUUCUAAACAGUUGUGUGGUCACCCAGGCUUUGCUACAUUUGUGGGGUAUAGGGAGAGUAGAUUAAGUGAUAUUUAUAGGACCCUAGGAUUUUCAGAAUGGUAAAUGAGCAUUGGCUUCAACUUAAAGUCACCAGAUGCAUUAUUCCCUAACUAGAGAGCUAGCCUGUCCUUUGAAACUUUCUUGCUAGAGAUUAAUUAAUUCCUCUUUACCCAGGAAAAUUCUAGAUGGCAGCUUCUUUUCCAGUGUAAGGCUGCUUUGUCUUCACUAAAAACCUUUUGUGUAGUAUAGCUACCUUUAUCAAUUAUCUUAGGCAUAUCUUCUGGAUAAUUUCUGCAGCUUCUACAUUAGCACUUGCUGCUUCACCCAGUGCUUAUAUGUUAUAAAGAUAGUUUCUUAAACUUCAUGAUCAAACCUCUGGUAGCUUCACAUUCAGUUCUGUAGUUUCCUAACCCCUCUCUUUUUAUAAAAUUUUUUCUUCUAAUUUUUUUUUUUUAAGUAGUCAGUGGACUUUUAUUUAUUUAUAUGCAGUGCUGAGAAUUGAACCCAGAUUCUCACACGUGCUAGACAAGCACUCUACCACUGAGCCACAACCCAAGCCCCUAACUCCUCUUAACCUUCAGAGAAUUGGAGUUUCCUUUGGAUUAUAUUUUUGUUUAAGAGAGUAUUGUGACUGGUUUGAUCAUCUAUCUAGAUCAAUAAAACUUUUUUUAUCAGCAAUAAAACUGUUAUUGUUCUUUUUUAUUGGUAUGUUUAUUGGAGUGGCAUUUUUAAUUUCCUUUCCUUCCUUUGGCUGUUUGUCAAAGAAGCCUAGCUUUUAGUCUCUCUGCUUUUGAAAUACCUUCCUCACUAAGCUUAAUCAGUUCUAGCUUUUGAUUUAAAGUGAGAAACUUGCCUGGCUUUUGUUCAGUUAAACUCUUAGAAGCCACUGUAGUGUUAUUAAUUGGCCUAAUUUCAGUAUUGUUUUGUCUCAGGGAAAAGAAAGGCCCAAGGAGAGGGAGGCAAUGGGGAACAGCUGGUAGAUGGAACAUUCAGAAUUCAUGCAGCAUUUCUCAGGUUUGCUGUCUUAUAUGGGUGUGGUUCAUGGUACCCCAAAACAAUUAAAGUAGUAAGAUACAGAUCACCAUAAGAGAUAUAAUUGUAAUAACAAAUUUGAAGUAUUGUGAGACAUAUGUGACAACAUGCUGUUAAAAAAAUGGUAUGCAUAAACUUGCUGUAGUCAGUGAAACCAUGAGCCUUCAGUUUGAAAAAACAAAAAACACAAUGUCUGUGAAGUGCAGUAAAGUUAGGUAUGUCUCUGUUCAAAACUGAAGGUUAAAUAAGACACUGAGAUAAAGAAAAAUUUAGAAAAUUUAUUGCUAGUAAACCUGUCUUACAAGAUACUAAAGGAAGUUCUUUUGGCAAGUGACUUGAAUUGGUAAUUUUUAAAAAAAGUUUUUAGUUGUUGAUGGACCUUUAUUUUUUAUUUAUGUAUAUGUGGUGCUGAGAAUUGAACCCAGUGCCUCACACAUGCUAGGCAAGCACUCUACCACUGAGCCAAAAUCCCAGCCCCCAAAUGGUAAUUUUAAUCCACACAAAAUAUGUAUUUAGGUGUACAUAUACUGUCUUAUAUUAUAAUAAAAGACAGUAUACAUACAUUUCUUUCUUCCCUUUUGCAUUAUAUAUGUGUAUGUAUCUCUGUGCAUAACAUGCUUAGAUACAUUGUUGCAAUAUAUUUGCCAAUAACAGGAAAAAAAGAGUUAGGUGAACUCCAUUAGGACUGGGGAAAUGACUGUAUGCUAACUCAGAUACACAAGAACAAAUGAAGAGAACCAGAAAUGAUAAAUAACAAAAGCCAUAAUUAUGUAUUUGGUCUCCUUUCAACUUUAAAAGUGUUUAUAGAAUUAAUGGUAAUUAUAGUGUGUUG